GAUGAACGCUAGCGGCAGGCUUAAUACAUGCAAGUCGUGGGGCAGCAGGUCCCGAGAAAUCGGGAUGCUGGCGACCGGCAAACGGGUGCGUAACACGUACGCAACUUUCCUUUAAGCGGGGAAUAGCCCAGAGAAUUUGGAUUAAUACCCCAUAAAAUUUUGAGAUGGCAUCAUCUUAUUAUUAAAGCUUCGGCACUUAAAGAUGGGCGUGCGGCUGAUUAGGUAGUUGGCGGGGUAACGGCCCACCAAGCCAGCGAUCAGUAGCUGAUGUGAGAGCAUGAUCAGCCACACGGGCACUGAGACACGGGCCCGACUCCGUACGGGAGGCAGCAGUAAGGAAUAUUGGUCAAUGGACGAAAGUCUGAACCAGCCAU
rnacentral:rRNA from 1 species